rnacentral:lncRNA from 1 species
AAAACACUUAGUGCAGUGCUUGGUACAUGUAGCCCUGGCUCUACUGCUACAACUGCUAAGAAUGUUUCCUUUCCCUCCCGUCUCCUCCUUGGCUUUCUUAUCUCCUCUCUCCUCCCUUUUCCUUCCCUUGAUAGCCUUUGUCUGUGUUUCCAUUUUCCUAGUCAUUCUCUAACAUUUCUGUUUUUGAGGGUUAGAAAUCCAGGACCUGGGUGGAUUAGGAAUAACCUGGCUGGAAGGAGGAGGGGUGGUGUUGAUGUAAUGUUAAUAUUCAUGUAGGAGACUCUUGGCAAUCUGCCCUUCUUCAUUUCCUCUGCUUUAUGUAACACUGUUGGUUUCUGUUUUCAUCAGUAAUUGGAGGCAUCACAGGAAAGAGUAUCUGAACUUAGUUUUUCCAGGGCAGAGAGGUGUAGUACUGCUGCCUCGGUGUUAGAUGAUGUAGGACAUAAUGAUUUCUUAGGGUCUUGUUGAUUCUUGAGAUAUGUUAUGUACUUUAGGAAUGACAUCGAUGAUUUUAAAGAAAGGAGAAAAUGAAAUUUUCUUUAAUCAGAAAAAGAGGUUCUCAGUUCUUUACCUUUUUAGCCUUUUCCUAGAGGUUUAAUGAUCAUUAGGAAGAAGUGCUUGUUAAGAGUAUUCAGUUUAUCUGAUAUGACAUUUCAAUCGAGUUUAAAAUUUUUUUUUUCCAGUUAACAGAAGAGGAAAUUGCAACUAUUCUUAAAUCUACUUUGAAAGGACUAGAAUAUUUACACUUUAUGAGAAAAAUACACAGAGAUAUAAAAGCUGGAAAUAUUCUCCUUAACACAGAAGGACAUGCAAAAUUGGCAGAUUUUGGAGUGGCUGGGCAGUUAACAGAUACAAUGGCAAAACGCAAUACUGUGAUAGGAACUCCAUUUUGGAUGGCUCCUGAGGUAAUUCAGGAAAUAGGCUAUAACUGUGUGGCUGACAUCUGGUCCCUUGGCAUUACUUCUGUAGAAAUGGCGGAAGGAAAACCUCCUUAUGCUGAUAUACAUCCAAUGCGGGUAAGAAAAUGAGGAAAAACGUCAGUGUAAAAGUGUCACAGUUUUGCAUUGUCAGUGUAAGUAAAUGCAAAGCUAAAAAGUUCAUUUGGAUUUGGGUUCUGUGCAAAAAAUAGUAAAACUAUCUGUUAAAAUAUUAAUAACUGUUAACUUUUCUCCCUUCGCAUCCUUAAUUGUGAGAAAAAAAGUAAAUCCUCUCACAAUCACUGUUUUUCUUUCCCUAAAAUACACCUGUUAAAUCCCCCUCCCCCUUUUUUUAAAGGGCUGAACCUGCUGCAUAUGGCAGUUCCCAGGCUAGGGGCUGACUGGGAGCUGCAGCUGCUGGCCUACACCACAGCCACAGCAACGCAGGAUCCGAGCUGCAUCUUCAACCUAUACCACAGCUCAUGACAACUCUGGAUCCUUAACCCACUGAGUGGGGUCAGGGAUCUAACCUGAAUCCUCAUGGAUACUAGUCAGGUUUGUUACUGCUGACCUACAGUGGGAACUAUAGUUCACCCUAUUUUGAAUGUAGCUGUGGAGGCAUUGGAAGAAAUCAAUUCUUUUCUAUCCACCCUGCAAAUUCUACCAUUUUGUAUUUUUGUUUUCCCCUUUUUUUCCUUCUCUGGUCUGGCUAAUAUUUAAAAAAAAUCCCAAUUUCUAAUACUGCUAUGUGUCUGUAAGCAAAUUAGUCUUUUUUUAGUGCUUAGAGACAAAAUGGAAUUCCUUUUUUGAGCAUUAUUAUGUGCUGUUUUGAACUCCUUUUCUAGGAUAAACUUUUGAGUUUGAAGUAUGUACCUUGCAUAUUUGAGUCUAAUUGCCGGUGCUUUAGGGUUUGUGAUGGGAUGUUUUCAAACUUCCUAGUGUGUGAAUCUCAAUUCUUUAUAGAUAAGUACAUCUAUCUUUGUAAACUUAUUGCCCUCUAGUGGCUGUAGUCACCUCAAGAAGAAAGAUUAAGGAAUGGAGAGAGAGAGCGAUAGAGCGAGAGAGAGCGAGAGAGAGAGCCAGAGAGAGAGCCAGAGACAGCACAAGAAAGAGAGCGAGAUUGUGUGUGGGGGGGUGGGGGGGAGAAGAGAAGAUAGUUUCAUGGUGACUGGACAGACAUAUGAAGUAAACAGAUGGCAGGAAAGUGAAUGCAGUAUUUUAGAAUAUUUGAAGAAGAAUAUAUUGGAAUUAUAUGUGAUAUUACAAUGCUAUUGUGGAUUGAAUUUCAGUAAUGUAGGUAAUAGUGUACUCUAUUGGAAUAUUUUAAAUUCUACUUGCCACUUUAAAGAAUUCUUUGAGUAAUACAAUUACAUUUACAAUAUGUAUCAUCUUCCUUGUGCAGAUAAAUACCUUUUGCUAAAGCGAAACAAAAAUAAUAUGAAUUGUUUGUUUGAAAAUACUAACCUGAAAAAAAACAAGGUCAGCAUAAAAUCAGCAACACAAAUUCUUGGUUUUUUUCUCUGAUUAUUAGGUAUCUUUGGCAUUUUUGGUUAGAAUGUUUUUAGGGUGAUCCUCAGACUAGAUGUAUUUGAGUUUGAGUUAGUGAGUUUAGCUAAACUAUCCAAGGCAGCCUAGUAAGUGCCAGACCUGGGAUUUAACCCAGGAUUUAGAUUAUUACUGUUCUGCUUCUUCCAGUAUACAUCUUAUUUUUUCCAAUCAAAUAGUUCAACAUACCAAGUUUGAUCCUGAGGUAGUCUCUCUAGGGGAUAGCAAAAAAUAUAAUAUGCGCCUUUCAGGAUCUUGAAAAAUCACUCUACAGUUUGAAUUAACACAUAUGAAAUAGUAAAAGUAUACUUAAAAUUCUUUUUUUAAAUUGAGGUAUAGUUGAUAUAGUGAUUCACAUAGUGAUUCACAGUUUUAAAAAGUUAUAAAUACUCUGUAGUUAUUAGAAAAGCUCACUGUAACAGGUGGAGGAAAGGAAUGUAAGUUGUUUUUUUUUGUUUUUUGUUUGUUUGUUUGUUUUUGUUUUUUGCCAUUUCUCGGGCUGCUCCUAUGGCACGUGGAGGUUCCCAGGCUAGGGGUCUAAUCAGAGCUGUAGCUGCCGGUCUAUGCCAGAGCCACAGCAACUUGGGAUUCGAGCCGCGUCUGCAACCUACAGCACAGCUCACGGCAAUGCCGGAUCCUUAACCCACUGAGCAAGGCCAGGGAUCGAACACGCAACCUCAUGGUUCCUAGUCGGAUUCGUUAACCACUGCGCCACGACGGGAACCCCUGUUAGUUGUUUUAAUAUAAGUAAAGCGUAUUGUGCAAUCUAAUGCACAGAGAUGGCUAUCUGGGGUAAGAGACAGAGCUAGGAUGUGGUGGGCCAGUUUCCCUAGCCUCCAUGUUCUGAGGAGGGGGGGUGCCCAGCCACUGUUGAUGUUGCCUGAUUGGACUGAGGAUUCUACUCAUUCUUUCUCAACCUCCCUUUUGCCAUUAUUACAGUGGUAUAACCCUUUCCCCUCUGCCUGCUCUCUAAAUCUGUAUUAUAGGAACAACCCCAGAACAGCUAUGCUCACUCUUAGACAAGCCAUCUGUGAGUUGGUUUCCUAGUCGUUUUCUCAGACAUACCAUUGUUUUAUUGUGCCCAGCUUCCAGGACUGCUAGAUAUCCAUUCUUGGUUAGGCCAGCAAGAAUUAGGGGAAGAAGUGAUACAUCAAGUUUGGAUAAUUGACAAUGGAGCUGCUCUUGCCUAAAUAUUCACAAAUUAAUCUUUUUUUUAACCAAUUAAACUUUUUGUAGGAGAUAUAUUUUUGAGUGUCAUAGCCUAAGGGAUAUGAAGAACUUAAAGCAGGCACUAGAUUAGAAAAAUGAAAGUAAGCUAAAUUGGAUCUUGGCCAGCAAAUAAUUGAGAAUGGUCUUAUGAAGGUGUUAAUGCCAGGUUCACUUGUUUUAUAGGGUUUUGUUUGUCAGUUUAUCAAAGAUUGAUACUUUAAGGAAUUUGAAAUAUAGACAUUCAAGGAGGAUUUUCCUAAUAAAAGGAGUUCUCAAAAACACUGGAUUUGUUUGAUGGCAAGAGAUAAACUAAUUUUGAUGCGACUCUCUCUCUCUCUUUUCUUAAGAGACACCUGUACUGUAUGCAAAGCAAAUCUUCCCUGCAGUGUAUAGUAAUAAUUAUCUGUCUAGUAAAGGGCAACAGUAAAGUACACAUUAAAACAUGUAAAGCUUUGUAAACAGGAGAGGGAUGAAAAUGUGUGACAUCCAGCUGUUAGAUUAAAAUUAAUGAAUAUUGGGGAAAUGGAAGUAAAUAUGCUUAAGAUGUUAAGGGAGACAAAUUUUGUGAAAAGUCAGUAUAUUUUAAAAAGUUAAAUAUGAAGCUACUCAAUUAGUUUUGGCCAGUCAAAUAAAAGAUUAAAAAAUUAAUUUUGAAUUCAGUUAAUCACAUAGUUUUGUAAAGAUCAGUCCUCUUUCUCAGCCCUGUAGGAAGUAUAACUUUCAGAAAGUCAGGAAAUGCGUAAAUAGUAUCAUUUUGCUAAAUAGCGAUCACUGUAUCCCUCCACCAAAUCUAAGCACUUUAUUCCUUAGACAUCCUUAGGACCAUAGACACAGUUUACUUUUGUUUUACAAGCUCUCGUUGGGGUCACCCAUUGCUCAGCCGUAGCGAAAAUGGUGAGGCAAGAACUGUUUGAGUCAGACUAAGGGCACAGGCAAAGUGACUGGUGACUUCUUGACAUCAGCUGAAAGAAAGUAAAACUCAAAUUAAGAAUUUUACUUCUACUCAAUGUAAUAUUGAAUAUUUAUUACCUUUAAAAAAUAAGAUGUACAAAUAUAUAGCAUAAGAAGAUUUAUGUCAAAUGUGACUUGAGACAGUUCAAGGCAUUUAAAUGACAAUUUUCUGGAAAUUUAGCUUAUACACAACUUUUGAUAAUCUGUGUUUAAGAGUAAAUUAGGAGCUUAGUCCAAAAGCCUGUGUGUGUGUGUGUGUGUGUGUGUGUGUGUGUGUGUACACUCACACCACUUACUUAAGAGAAAGAAACCCUGUAGAUGUUUUCAAAGUGGAAAGAUAAAUCUUUGAUAAAUGAUAUUUUUGAAAAUGAUUCUUUCUUUCCUGAAAAACCCUUCCUUUAACCUUGUUGUUUUUUUUCCAACUAGCCCACCACCCCCUUUUUUGAGUAACAUAGCAUUUUAAUAAGUAGAAUAGAUGCGCCAGUACAUGUAAGGUCAAACAGACAUUAGAAGGGAAAAAAACCCAUCUCUUUAUAGUCAUAUUUAAAAAGUAAAACGGAGUUAUUGUUGUGGCUCCGCAGUUAAUGAAACUGAUGAGCAUCCAUGAGGAUGUGGGCUUGAUCCCUGGUCUCACUCAGUGGGUUAAGGAUCCGGCAUUGCUUGAGCUGUGAUGUAGGUGGAAGAUGGCUCAGAUCCUGCAUUGCUGUGGCUCUGGUGUAGGCCAGCAGCUAUAGCUUUGAUUGGACCCCUAGCCUGGGAACCUCUAUGUGCUGCAGGUGUGGCCCUAAAAAAGACAAAAAACAAAACAAAACAAUAAAAAGUAAAACAGGAUUUCCUGCUAUGGCUCAUUGGUUAGUGAUCCCAACUAGCAUCCAUGAACAUAUGGGUUUGAUCUUUGGCCUUGCCUAAUGGGGUUAAGGAUCUGGUGUCGCCCGUGAACUGUCGUGUAGGUCGCACACAAGGCUCUGAUCCAUGUUGCUGUGGCUGUGGCCUAGGUUGGCAGCUAUAGCUCCGAUUGGUACCCUAGCCUGGGAACCUCUACGUGCCAUGGUUGUGGCCCUAAAAAGCCACAAAAAAAGUAAACUACAUGACAGUACUCUUUCAUAAUCAAGCAUACUCCUAAUCCAACAUGAUUUCUUUUUUAAAAAAAGACAUGCAAAAGUAGUUAUUUCCAUGUUUAAAAAGUAAAAUCUGAGCUAUCCAUUUUUUAAUUAAAAAAAAUGAAUUCGUGGAGUUCCCUUCGUUGCGCAAUGGUUAACGAAUCCGACUAGGAACCAUGAGGUUGCGGGUUCGAUCCCUGGCCUUGCUCAGUGGGUUAAGGAUCUGGCUUUGCCGUGAGCUAUAGUGUAGGUUGCAGAUGUGGCUUGGAUCCCGUGUUGCUGUGGCCCUGGUGUAGGCCGGCGGCUACAGCUCUGAUUAGACCCCUAGCCUGGGAACCUCCAUAUGCCUCGGGAGCGGCUCAAGAAAAGGUAAAAAGACCAAAAAAAAAAAAAAAAAACAAAAAAAAAA